UGGGCAACUUGGUUAGCUUCAGAGUCCCAUAAAUUCUCCAAAAAACAAGGCAGCCUUCAAGGAUGGUAGGAAAAAUGCUGUUCAUAACUGAGACAUCCAGUUAUAAAAAGCUGGAGGUAUUAAUAGUGAGUAGGUUUAUUAGAUUUGUAGACUUCAGCAAGCAGGGAAGGGCUGGAAACAUUUUAGGAGAUGGGAUUUUAAUUCCAAAUGUUCUUCCUUAAAUACAGGAAGAUUUCAUUUAGCCACUUGAAAGCCAUCUAGAAAUAAAGGAUAAUAAUGCACUAAAGCAACAUUUUGGGAAAAGAUGCCAAGCCCCAAUGAAGAAGGCAGAACAGCACCAGUCAGGACUGGCCCAGAUAUGACUGAUUUCUGCCUUGGGACAGCUGUUUGAUUCAUCUGCCAGUGGUGUCAGCCUGUGCACUGAAAAGGCUAUAUCAGCCCUGGACUGCACCUCCUUAGUCUCUUGUCAGGAAGCAUCGUUGUGCAACAGUGUCAUCCACAAUUUUAAUGAUGACAUCUCAUUUCAGAAGGGCGUGAGCUGAAUCCCAAUGAAUAAAUUCAUGAAGUUUAACCUCUCAGUGACCCCAUUUCUACUGUGUUUUCUUUUAGUCCCUCCCCAACUCAUUAGCUCUCCUGACAAAAGCAGAUGAAAACAUGAGUUUUUAUAACUGUGCUUGAAAGAGGAAGAAAACAUGGGAAGAAGAAAGGUGGAGAGAAACAUUGUGUUUGGUCUGGAAGCGAUUUGCUGUGUGUUUGGAAACAAGACAUUUUUUUUUUCCCAAGUAUGGCAUGGUUCUUAACUGGAACGACCGAUCUUGGAGCAGAAACUACAUUGACAUUAUGAUUAUGUUCAACCCUAACUAAUUUCUUUCUAAUGUACUGUGAAUGGAAUCAAGUUCAUUGAGAUGCAGCCUCUGUUCCAAGGACAUCCUGUGGCUAUCAAGAAAACCUCUGUCUCGCACUCCAUUUUCAGCAAUGUUUUCACUGUCAGCUGUCAACGUUAACACAAUAUUUAGGUUCUCUUAAAAUAAGUCAAGCCAUUUUGUCACCCCCUUACUGCUCUGACAACUGUUGAUCCUGGUCUCAAGCCGCUUUAAUGUAGUGCCAGUUUGGUGCCCAAAUUACUCGUGACAUUUCUCUUUGAGCAUCUACUUUGUUUGCUUUUUACCCCUUAGUAAGACUACAUAGAAGCCUAAAAAUGUGUUCCUGGUUAUAUUUCUCUUGAAAUAGCAACUUAUGAAUUAAGAAAACAUACAUAUUAAUCUGCAUUUUGCAAAUGUCUAGUGAGACUCAUUUCUAUGUCCCAACCUUAUGCAGUGUUAUAUCUGUUGGGUGAAUAUUUCUUUGUACUGUGUUUAUCAAUUCCUUAUCCUGUUACUAUUGUUAACUUUGGCACUGAAAACAAUCAAGUAUGAAUUUCAAUAUGCGUAAAAUUGGAAAUUGCCUUUUUUUUUUUUUUUUUUUGCUUACUAUUGUACCAUCAAUCUUUCUGACAAUCUUUUAUAUAACAUGUAACAAAAGUCUAUUUUCUCUAUUCUAUUCAUGCAUUCCAGUAAGGAUAUCUUCUGUGAAAUUCUUGUUUAUGCCAAGUAGUGGACUUCUGAAACUUUUCCUACUUCAAUUUUCUGCAAUACUACACUUACUGAAUCCAAUCAAUUCCAAUUUUAAUUCCAUUCAUUAUUUUGCAUUUAAAAUGAAAAUAAUUUAGUUGACUACCAGAGUACUGUAACUAUUUAAAGAGUACCUAUAACUUAACUUAAAUUCUUCAAUGUGUAGACAAAAUAUCUGUUAUUUUUUCUUGUUAUUCUAUACCAGGAAACAGAUAUUAGAAGAACACGAGGGAAAAUAGUUUGUUGAUGCUAGCUGAAUUUAAAGUGAAUUGUUACUGGAUGAAAACUGUUUAGAGCAAACUUAUCCUGUUUACUGAAGGAUUUUAUGGGAAGGGCUCAAAUUUGCAUGUUGAUUCAUAAAAUGUAGGAAGUCCUUCGCAUCCAUACAAUAGGAGAAGAGGACUGUUAAAAUAUGAAGUCAUCUCUCAGACAAGUAGCAAGGGAGGCAGCUAUUUGCAGUAGGAGAGCAAUCUGCAAGACUAGGAAUAGUACUGUCCAACCUAUGUAAAGUUUUCAUUGCAUACAUGAAUUUUCCGUAUCUAGAACUCAUAUAAACACAGAAAUAUAAGGAUUCUUCUUAUCUUAAAUUUCUGGACUACAUCAAGCUUGUACAACCUGACUGUGAUCAAUAAACACAAUGGAGUGAUACUUA